UCAUCAUGUUUACACAUUAUUAAAUAUCUCACCUUUCACCGUUUGAUCUCUGUUUUUGAGAUAUUUUGGAGUUAAAAUGUAAUAGAUUUUGUCAGACGAAGUUGGUGUUAGGAUAAUGGAGAUUGGUAGCCUCAAGGGAAAAGCUCUUCCACCGCCAUGUCUGUUACCCCAAAACACAGCUCCACCGCUUCGGCCUCGCAUUAACUUUUCCCAGCUUUCUCACGCCGACCACACCUUGACGCGAAUUCAGACCUCUGGUAUCAUUGCUUGCCUUCGCGCCAAUACUGCAGAGUUGGCAAUGGAAGCUGCCCGUGCUGCACUUAGUGGUGGAAUAACAGUGCUGGAGAUUGUACGGUCAACUCCAGGUGUGUUUGAGGUUCUUAAGCAGCUGGUGAAUGACUAUCCCACAACCGUCUUAGGAGUUGGUACUGUUCUUAAUAUCGAGGAUGCCAGAAAGGCAGUUGGUGCUGGAGCCAAAUUCCUCAUGAGCCCUGCAAUUGUGAAGGAUGUUAUCGAUAUGGAUGGUUUCCAGAACGGUGAAGUUUUAUACAUACCUGGUGCAAUGACCCCUACAGAGAUAUUGUCUGCUCAUGAUUCGGGUGCCAAAAUUGUGAAGGUAUAUCCGGUUUCAGUAUUAGGUGGUGUACAGUACAUAUCAGCACUUAAGAAGCCUUUUCCUGAUAUCUCAAUGGUUGCUUCCCAAGGAAUUACUAUAGAUUCAGUGGGAGAGUAUAUUGCUAAUGGAGCUUCAUCAGUUGUUUUAUCAGAUGCCAUAUUUGAUAAAGAGGCAAUGGCCCAAAAUAAUUUCAUUGUCAUUCGUCAACUUGCACAUUUUGCCACUUUGCAGGCCAGCCAAGUACUAGAAAUGUUAGACUUUAUAUUUAAUUAUUACUUUUACGAUUAUUUUCACAUAUUUUGAUUGGUUUCUUUAGAAAUUUAAGUGAAUAAAAUUUUCUGAAAAAAGAAAAUAAAAGAGUCAAGUGGGAAGAAAACAAAUGGUCAAAAGGUUCUCUGCUUGUUUAGCAAAUCUUACAGUAUUUUUGGAUAAUGAAACUAUUAUAGAUUUUAUUUUGUUAGAAUCUAAUUCGCAUUUGGACAAUUUCUUAGGUGGAGCCAUUGUCCUUAUCUUCCGAAAGAGGGAUUUUGACUAGGUUCUUGUCUUUUCUUGUCACUCAAACUCUCCUUUGUUUUAACUGCAGCAUUAUCAUGUCGCUCCUCUGAUAAACCUCCAAUCCGUUUUACAUAUCCCGGGCAUAAGGCCACCUAGCUAGAGUUGAUUAUUAUUUCUUUUUCUUUUUUACUGCUUUUGUUUUUGGCUAGGAUAUUUGGGGUUUGUUUCCUUUUUGUUGAGGCCUUGGGAUUGGAAAGGAUGUUGUGCUCUUUAUGAUGGCGAGAGUAGUUGGGAGAAAGACACUUUGUUUUGUAAAGUUGAGCUGUGCUCUAGGAGAGUUCUCUAGCCUCUCAAAUUUUAGACUUGCAUUUUCCAGUUUUCUAAAAUCUCAGUCAUAUUUACAUCAUCAUAUCAUCUCAUUUGAAUCCUUAGUUCUGGACAAUUUUUUGGUUUUGCUGCAGAGUUCAGUUUUCUUGAAUUCAUUCUCUUUUUAUCUGUUGCUUCUUAUCAAAUUCCUUUCAUGCACAUUGUUUUCUUAAAAUAGUUUUUAAAUGAUUAAUGUUCCUUAAUUUUAUAGGUAGUCAUGACAUCUGAUUAAGUUUAAUUCAUGCAGGAAGAGAAGCUUUGGGUAAAACUUAUUGUACCAGAGUAGACAAUUUUCUUUUGCAGCAUUCUAUUGUAGUACAUUCAUAUCUGGUUUUAUGAAAAGUUAUGGCCUCAUCCUCAAGGACUUCAAAUAGACUUAUAAAUCAGGUUGUAAGCUAGUGCACAUGGCAGCAAAAGAUUUACAGAGGAGUGUAAAGAAUCAGAAGAGUUAUGAAACUGAAUUGGAGUUAGUUUAAUAAUGCACCAACUCAGUCAUAGAAAGAUAAAGAUUCAAUCCUACUGGAUAGGCUAGCUAGUCAUAGGGGUUCUGAAUUCUAGUUCUGGUUUCUUGUCACUUUCAGCCUUCAAGGAGGAAUGUUAUGUCAUCUAAUAGUGUAGGAACUUGUGUCAUAUUCUGAUAACUAAAAGUUGUGUACAUGAGACUUAGACUAGACUUUCUAAAUGGUGAGAUAGUUGUCACUGGUUUUAUAGAUAUAAUGCAAUUUAGUUCUGCAA